CCAUUAUGGUUAUUACGGUAAUGUCACUCAUGUUAUAUACUUAGGCUACUGUAACGCGUUCAACCAGUUAGCAAGUCAGAAAUGUCCGUUUCCUAGUACCGACUGGCACUUGAAUGCAGUAUUAUGCUGCCUUCACCUUCUCGUGGGAAACGGGAAAAUGGGUAGUUGUUACUCCGACAUGAUUGUGUUCAAGUGCUUUUGAAGUCUGAACAAUUCUUAAACCAAUAAGAUUGGCCACACAAUUUUCUAAUUUCACACUUAUAAUUCCUAUUUGGAGGGUCAUUCAAGUGAAACUUCGCAGGCGGAACUAGGCAUUCCCGAGAACUCCGAUUGUACCUGAACGAGGCAUUAGUAUGUGUAAUAGCAGCCUACAUACAUAGCCUACAUCUGUCUUCAGAUUUAUUUUAUGGGUGAUUUUUCCAUUGAAGGAAAUAUAUUUAAUCUUCCACUCCACUCCACUCUUCCGAUACAUUUAUUUGCUGCAGACAAGAUGAUAUUCAACAGGUAGGCAUUUUGAAACCGUUCAGAGAUUACUUCAAGUAAUGGCACUCUUUGGGAUCUUUGCCAGGGAACAUUUAAAUACAUUAUCAAUGGCAAAUAGUGUUUUCUAUGCUUGAUUUCACUUAAUAUUUUUGGGUGUUGCGCUCAUUGCAGUCAGAAAACAUGUUGGCCGAUCAAAACCCUUGCCGGUGAUGUUGCUUUCUCUCCCCAAGUCGUAUGAGAAAAUAACGGAAAACUGACCCAAGAUCAGUACUGUACAUAUGCAACUUCAACCCAAUGUAAUGCGGAGCGCGUUCCAGCUCGUCAACACAAUCGGCUGCAGGGGAGGUUACUUUCCGUGUUGUUCAGUUUAUAUAAGAAUAUCAAAUUAAAUGAAUCUUAGAAACGCUUUUCCAGGCAGUUCGAAUGUAUAUUCUUAUUCUGUGUAGAUUCUGUGUAAUUUGACCUACAACACAAAUGCGCAUUAUGACUUCAACAAAGAAGGCAGCUUGGAACGUACCCGAUCCUCCCAUGCGAUCAUUCUCUUUCCCGCUCCAAAUAAAGACCCUUCACACCUACCACCCUUCUCUUCAGACCACUCAGACCCACACCUACCACCCUUCUCUUCAGACCACUCAGACCCACACCUACCACCCUUCUCUUCAGACCCACACCUACCACCCUUCUCUUCAGACCCACACAUACCACCCUUCUCUUCAGACCACUCAGACCUACACCUACCACCCUUCUCUUCAGACCACUCAGACCCACACCUACCACCCUUCUAUUCAGACCAUUCAGACCCACACCUACCACCCUUCCAUUCAGACCCACACCUACCACCCUUCUCUUCAGACCACUCAGACCCACACCUACCACCCUUCUCUUCAGACCACUCAGACCCACACCCACCACCCUUCUCUUCAGACCACUCAGACCCACGGCUGACACCUUUAGUCUCUCUCUCUCUUUCUUUCUAUCCAUCCUCUUGAUACAGAUCUCUUGAUCCAUCCUCUGGCUGCAUUUUAAAAUGGCUCCUGGCUCCAGCCGUAAGCUGUGUCCUAGUUGUAACACAUCAAUAAGAGGAGCAUCAAAGAAGAGCCAGUUCUGUGGUGCAACAAUCCAGCUAAAGGUCAAGUUAGAGGCCCAAAAAAGGAAGGCUACAGAUGAAUGGGCAAAUAAGACAAUGAAACAUGGAAGAUAUGCAACCUUGGUUAAUGCAGCAAACAAGCUGGUACAUAGGUUCCACAAGGUAGGAGGGAACCCCCUGCUACUCCUCAGCAAGAGGAAAAAGGAUAACAUUUUGUCGUCGACUGCACUGUGUCCUCACAGUGGUAUGAUGAGUCAGACCUCAAUGGCAGCAAUCCAAAGGUUGUAUGAGGCAAUUGUGAAAGGUAUUUGGACAGAAAUAUGUAUGUUUGUCUACCUUAAGACCCUAUCCCUCAACCACCACAACCGUUAGACUGUAAAAAACAAAUUAUUCCACUUCAAAUUCGCCAAAGUCAGCCCCUCCCUCUCCUGUCCUGCGGGACAAAACUCUCAUCCAUGCUUUCUUCUUCUCCUGAAUAGACUAUUGCAACUCACUACUCCCUGGCACUAACACAGACUCCCUCGAUAAGCUCCAAAUGGUUCAAAACUCAGCAGCCCAUCUUCUAACCCACACUAAAUCAUCCUGGCAGCAUAUCACCCCCAUCCUCUGUGAACUCCACUGGCUCCCUGUCUCCCUCCGCAUUAAUUACAAGAUCCUCCUGACCUAAAAAAGCUCUCCACCACCUUACCUUCUUCUCUCCUACCAGCCCUCGUGCUCUUUCCGCUCAACCACAGUUGGCCAACUUGUCAUUGGGGCGGCAGCGUAGCCUAGUGGUUAGAGCGUUGGACUAGUAACCGAAAGGUUGCAAGAUCAAAUCCCUGAUCUGACAAGGUACAAAUCUGUUGUUCUGCCCCUGAACAAGGCAGUUAACCCACUGUUCCUAGCCCAUCAUUGAAAAUAAGAAUUUGUUCUUAACUGACUUGCCUAGUUAAAUAAAAAUAAAUAAAAAAUCCCCAGGUCCAAGCUCCAGAGUUUCAGUGACAGGGCCUUCUCCAGGGUUGCUCCUAGGCUCUGAAACUCCCUUCCUCCAGCCAUCCGUGACUCUAAGUCCAUCAUCAUCUUUCAGUCCUGCCUAAAAACCCACCUCUUCACCAUGGCCUACCUCCCCCUCCACCAUUCCCACACACACCUUUUCUGUUUCACACAUGAGCAACACCUGCUCACUCACCUGCUAUCUCACUCACACAUCACACCCUUUCCUUGGGCCCUUCUUACCUCUAUUUAGCCCCGUUUAUACCUGGUUCUAACAUGCAUUACAUGUCCUGAUCUUGUCCACAGUCUGAUUGUUCCCAGAUUUUCAGACAGGUGUAGAUGAUUAAAAGAAGCAUUUUGAUCAGAUCUUCCUGACCACAUCUGGAGUUGACAGUAAAACCAUUUAAAUCAUCCUGCCUUCUAAAAUCAUUGACAGGUGGCACCAUUGACUUAUGGAAUAUAUAUGUGUCUUAAAAUAAAUAAAUAAGUAUUCUUUUGAAAGAAUAUCUGUCAAAGAAUUAGCAUACAAGGCGGGACCAGUAAAUCUGUUCACAAUGCGGACACAGUGGACUGAUAAGACCAUGUGUAGACGCAUUUCUAAAAAUGUGGGUACAAUCAGAAUGUGGACAAGAUCAGGACAAAGGAUGCAUGUUUGCACCAAAGUACACUGCUCAAAAAAAUAAAGGGAACACUUAAACAACACAAUGU